rnacentral:misc_RNA from 1 species
GUAGGUGAACCUGCGGAAGGAUCAUUAACACGUAUCCAACGUUAAACAACCCUGUGAACUUUCAGCCGCUCUUGGAGCCUGGCGGAUAGCAAUGUCCAAAAGGCUACAAUCGAGCGACAUGGCUUCCUCACAGCAGCUAGAGAAAGAAUACUAGCUGCGAGGAUAACGCCUCACGGUUGCUAGAGGUCGAUCACCGGCCGGCAGACAUGUCACAGGGCGCUCGCGCCCCCUAAUCACCCCUUGCAAAUAA